UGGCGGCGCGUUGGGAGCCCCCGAUGCCCUACCGCCUUCCUGUAUAAAGGUCAGCAAUCCUCACGCACAAGGGGGAACGCACAUACACCGCUGGCCGCAAGGCCACUCUCAAGAACACAAGCGCACACGGGCUGGCCACAGCCAGGCUGCUCGCAUGCAUGGAGAUCUGAGCAUGCAAAUCUCCCAUAGUCCCUGAUGGUGAAGCCCUGCUACUCACCGAAAUCCCGUAGUAUCCUUUGCCUUGCCGGCGGCCGCGUCGACGGCCACGUGCUCUUACGGCCGGAACAACUCAUUACUCUAGACCAACCGACGAGGUUGGAAGACAGCUACCUUCCACGACCGACGAGGCCGGAAGUUACUCACACGUCCUUACUGACGAGGCAGGAUAUCCUUUUGUUCGCGAUUGACGAGGCCGAACGUUCACCUUGAGACUUUGCUAUGAACCCGGUGCCGACGAGGCCGGAUAUCUUAGUCCAAAGACCGUCAAGUCUUUACCAUGUCACAGCAUGGCCACAUCGGCCACAUAUUGGAGAAUAUUUCAGGUUCAAGACGACGACCAUCAGUGCAGCUUAAUCGGAGGUGUUUCGCGGAUUGCCCCGCGGAUGUAACUAACCGGAUUGUCUUACGAGGCUCCGGGAACCUGCAACUAUGCAAUCGCCGAUUCAAGACAGAUUUAGUUAAAGGCGCAAUAUUUGUAAUCAGUGGGAAAUUGUACUUUGUAAUUCGAUAAAGAAUUAAUAAAGCAAUAUUUCCCUA